AUGCAAUGUAAAGAACUGCCUUUGUGUUGGUUUCAUUUUUGGAUAUGCUUCGAUGUAUUUCAUCAAUGGGAAGCAGCUUUGCUUUGCGUUUGUGUUAAGAACCGCCUUUUAUGUUGCGACUGGCAUAACGGGCCGCGAGUUCCUAUAGAGCCACAAAGAAUAGUUGAAACUGUAUUUGUUCUAUCCCUAUUGGCCCAUGAGGCCCAGUCCCAUUUCUAUCAAGUGAGACUGAUGAUCUUGGAGGGCACAAGUGUGUCUGCGCCAGCGCGCCCGUUGCUGCUACUAGAAAUAAUACUAGCAGCAUCACAUCAGGAUGACGAGUGGGAGCCACACUUGGGCUGA
rnacentral:rRNA from 1 species